GAUGAACGCUGGCGGCGUGCCUAAUACAUGCAAGUAGAACGCUGAAGGAGGAGCUUGCUCUUUCCGGAUGAGUUGCGAACGGGUGAGUAACGCGUAGGUAACCUGCCUGGUAGCGGGGGAUAACUAUUGGAAACGAUAGCUAAUACCGCAUAACAGUAGAUAUUGCAUGAUAUUUGCUUGAAAGGGGCAAUUGCUCCACUACCAGAUGGACCUGCGUUGUAUUAGCUAGUUGGUGAGGUAACGGCUCACCAAGGCGACGAUACAUAGCCGACCUGAGAGGGUGAUCGGCCACACUGGGACUGAGACACGGCCCAGACUCCUACGGGAGGCAGCAGUAGGGAAUCUUCGGCAAUGGACGGAAGUCUGACCGAGCAACGCCGCGUGAGUGAAGAAGGUUUUCGGAUCGUAAAGCUCUGUUGUAAGAGAAGAACGAGUGUGAGAGUGGAAAGUUCACACUGUGACGGUAGCUUACCAGAAAGAGACGGCUAACUACGUG
rnacentral:rRNA from 1 species